GGCUGCGUAGUUCAGUGGUUAGAAUAACCGUUUCAUACGCGGUAUGUCACUCGUUCGAAUCGAGUCGCAGCCA
rnacentral:tRNA from 1 species